UUUGUCUUUUUUUCCAGAUAGAUUUUUUAGUUUUGUUUUUGUAACUACAAUAUAAUAUCACUUCCGUUAUAUUAAAUUAAGUGUUUUUAUUUACAAUUUUAUGUAUUUACAAUUAUUAUUUCUCAGUUACAGCUGCCAUAAUGAAACAAUUCAUGAAAUCUUUAAAUUAAAAAGCACUCUUUUUAUUUCAGUAACAAAUUGACUUUUUGUUAUUGGAUGAAGAAAAAGUGUUACUCGGGAGAAAAAAAACAUAUAUAUUCUUGGGCAAUGGAAAGAUUUCCCUAUCAUGAUCUGUAGCUGAAUAAUCUCCAAAUAUUUGCAACUUCCGGGCAGUGGCUUACAAGGUACUGGACACCUUACAGACGAAGACCAACUUGAAGGGUAUAUAUCUCAUAACCUCCAAUCAAGAUUGUUUCUGAUAUGACUGUUAAAACUAUGGUUAAAUCUGGAUAAAACAGUCAAUUGUCAAAUGCGUGCCAACUUUGACUUUAGUGGUUUCGUUUGUCAGUUUUCUCCACUGUGAAUAAACCUUGUCCUCUUAGCUUCAAUUUUGAUUUUUUUCCCAGGCAUGAAAAUUUACUU
rnacentral:lncRNA from 1 species